rnacentral:rRNA from 1 species
AACUUUCAACAACGGAUCUCUUGGUUCUGGCAUCGAUGAAGAACGCAGCAAAAUGCGAUAAGUAAUGUGAAUUGCAGAAUUCAGUGAAUCAUCGAAUCUUUGAACGCACAUUGCGCCCGCCAGUAUUCUGGCGGGCAUGCCUGUUCGAGCGUCAUUC